AUAGGUCAGGGGUCUGCAACCCGCAGCUCCGGAGCCGCAUGUGGCUCUUUUACACCUUUGCCGCGGCUCCGGGGCGGAUACUAGCGAGGGGAGGAGGCGCAUUGUGCGCCCCGACACUCCCCACUGUGGCGGAAGCUGUACUGGCUGUGACGUCGCAUGAGGGCGGUGCGUGCGUUAGUCACGCACCGUCCCGACGUCACCUUCCCGCCCGCUGUCAGAUCGCGGCUCCGGAGAUAUAUUUGUUUUAAAUGUUGCAAUGGUUUUGCGGCUCCCAGUUUUUUUUUCUUCGGAAACGGGUCCAAGUGGCUCUUUUUGUCUUAAAGGUUGCAGACCCCUGGUAUAGACAGAAGACCAUCAAGAUCAUAAAGAACUUGCAUAUGGGAGUGGAUUCAGCACAGACUGGAACAAAGGACAAUAAUCAGCUCUUCCCUCUGGGGGCAGGAAACUGCAAACUCCCCUCUGUCACCUGGAAAGUACUCAUGGGGAGGGGGAAAAGGGGGAACCAGCCAGGUGACAGGACACUCAGGUUACCACCACAACUCCUCCCUCAACCCCUCCUUUCUGUGAUGUAUGUAUGAUGUUUCUGGGGGUGGUCUUGAUCUACAGGAUGGGAAUUUCAAAAGUCUUUAUAAGACCUUGCACACCAUUUUUUCUGUGUCCUUCCUCUCUCCUGCAAGUGAGGGGAGCACCCUGUUGCAACAGUUCAAUAAAGGUCAAGCCUACAGGCUGCUGUUUUGCUCCAA